GUAUUUCAGCAAUGCAUUCUCAAGAAGGAAGAGAUUAAUGAACCUUACCCUCUUACAAUGAACAACACAUGGACACUCUCAGGAUGAUCCCUUUGCUUUCAUUAAGAGUUCCAAGAUGUGGGUCUGAUGGACUGGGGUGUGAAAUGUAACAGCUAAUGGUGUACUUAAGCUAAGACUGUCAGUCCCAAUAUUCAAGAGCAAUGCAUUCUCAAGAAGGAGGAGAUUAAUGAACCCUACCCUCUUACAAUGAACAACACAUGGACACUCUCAGGAUGAUCCCUUUGCUUUCAUUAAGAGUUCCAAGAUGUGGGUCUGAUGGACUGGGGUGUGAAAUGUAACAGCUAAUGGUGUACUUAAGCUAAGACUGUCAGUCCCAAUAUUCAAGAGGUGAGAUAAGCAAUGGAUGUGUGUUCUAAAUUUACUAAAUUGACCACUUUUUAUAAAUGUUUCUUUUACUCUAUAGAAUAGGUA